UCCCAUAUAAUUAGUCCUGUGGAAAACAAAGCAUUUUGGAGUUAGCUGGAUGAUUGCUCAUACGUUCCUUUAAUUCUUGAAACAAGUCUUCCUUGUAAGUAUUACCCACUUUUUCUAAGAUGAUACUCAGGUUGGUAACUUGGUGGUCACUAAAUGUGAAGACCCCUAAGCCUUAGAGAUCCCAUGGUUCUUCACACCAGCCCAAGCUGCAUCAGGCUGGCGUUAAUGCAAUACUUGACUGCCCAGCUACCCAGCCACAUGCAAAACCUGCCUACCAGUACCACAGAGAGCUUACCCAACCAUCUUUCCUCCAAAAAUAGCAUUUAUUUUUCCCUCCCUCUUUCUCUUCUCUUGCUUGACUCACUUAAGUCAGAGUUCUAAAAAACAAUAAACAAACACCUCUCAAUGCUCAGACCUCUUGUUAAACUUAUUGUCUUAACUCCUAAACUUAAAAUUACUUUCAUGAACAUAUCUUGCCUUAGCUAUCCCUGUGUCUCACACAGGGCUCCAUAUCUCUUUGGUUUCUCCAUUCAAAUAAAUAGUAAUUAACAUUUGUUAAGUCUAGAGAGACCAAAGAUCAGGUAGCAGCCAGCCAUUGGUCCAAGCAUUAACACAUAAUAGCUCAUUUAAUCCUCAACAACCUUGUGAGAUAGAGCCUAUUUUAUAGUCGGGGAACAUAGGCAUAGAGGUAUAUCACAUAGCCAGUAAUUAGUGGAGCAGAAAUUAGAUCCCUGGCAAUCUGCUUCAGAGGCUGCUUUCUCGACCACCAUGCUUUAAAUGGCCUGCCAUAAUCCCUGGCACCUAAUACAUGUUAAUGAGCAUUUUAAAAAUAAUGAAUGUUUACCCAUCCACACUUAGCAUCAUAGCAGGAAGAAGAGACGGUAAUGAAAUGGGUAGAACUUCAGGUUUUUGAGGACAUAUAAUUGACCUCAAUACCACAAGAACUGCUUUCUGUGGUGGGACUAUGGACCCUACCUGUGGCCUGUAUUUGAAACAUGAGAGGGACAUGGUCCAUGCUCAUGACAUCAGGUGUGCGUGACAGAUCGCUGAGCCUUCACGUUUGGGUUCUAGGACCUCCUUCACAAUCAGUGAAAGGCAUCUCCAGCUAAACCGAUUCCUGGCCAAGCCCACCAACAAGCCAAUUUGUGUUCUUCAGGGACCCAGCAGUGAGCAAUGUCAGUUCCUGUGGCAGGUUAAAUAAUGGCCCCCACAGAUACCCAUGUUCUAAUCCCCUAGAAACUCUGUUACUUUAUAUGGAAGAAAAUGGAUUUUGCAGAUGUGAUGAAAUUAAGAAUCCUGAGAAGGGGAGAUUAUCCUGGAUUAUCAGCGUGGGCCUUAAGUGCAAUCAUAGGUCCUUUUAAGUAGGAGACAGAAGGAAAUUUGAGACACAGAAGAGGAAAAGGGAAUGUGACCACAGAGACAAAGAUUGGAAUGAUGCAGUCACAAGCCAAUGAAUGGCAGCAGCCACCAGAAGCUGGAAGAGGCAAGGAAGGAAUUCUCUCCAAGAGCUUCUCAAGGAAGCACAAUCCUGCUUUCAUAUUGAUUUCUGUCCAGUGAAAGUGAUUUUGGACUUCUGGCCUCCAGAACUGUACAGAAAUAAGUGUAUAUUGUUUUAAAUCACCAAGUUUGUGGUAAUUUGUUACAACAGCCAAAGGAAAUGAAAAUACAGUUCCCAAAUCUGCAAGAUGACUUUCAAUACCUGGGGAUGAAACAAAAAGAUAUUUCAAGCAAUUGAUCAAUUUUCUCUUCUGUGGCCAAUGAAGCCAAUCAUUUGUGGGGAGUGAAGGAGGAGGAGAGAGGAACAUUUAGCUCUCAGCAUAUUAUAUAAAAGCCUUCCGAUCUAGACUUUGCCAUUAUCUCCAAAUAAUAAAUACAUACAAUAACUGGGAUAUACUUAUAUGAUUUAAAGUAGACUUGAAAAUUUAAAUUUGUUGCUCACUACCCAACCAUAUUGCCUAAAGUACAUGAUAGUUUACAAUUUUUUUAAUUUACUAAUAUUUUAUUUAGGAUUUUAGCAUCCUUGUAUAAUAGUGCCAGAACUACCCUACUGCUAGUAAGUAAGAAGGAGGCAUUACUAAUCAACAGACAUAAAGUUUCAGUCAAGUGAGAUGGGCAAGCACAAGAGAUCUGCUGUACAGCAUUGUACCUAUAGG
rnacentral:lncRNA from 10 species